CACAAAAAUCUGGGGAUCCUUCUGAAAAUAUUAAUGCCAUCAUAUUAUGAUAUAAUUUACAUGAUAUAAUUGUAUAAAAUCAUGAUUAUAAUAAUGUUUCAAGAAACAUUUCUUAAAUUCCCAAUUACUAGUUUAAGUGAGUUAAUCUAAUGAACCAAGUCAUGGGCGAAGCAUGUAAUGUGCAUUAUCUAAUUUAUUCCUCACAAUAAUCACGUAAGUAUUAAUGAGUGUAUUCAUAUAUGUUAUUACCUAUAAUCAGAUUAAAUUAUUUGUCCAAGGUCACUAGCUAGUAAGUGGUGCUAGGAUUUGAAUCUGGCAAUAUCUAUUACCAAAGCCUUUGUGCUGAAGUCAUAUGCUGUAUAGAAAGGUAAUGUCUAGGUCCUCCCACCUAAUGUGAUGAUGAUGAUGAUUAUUAUGAUAGAAAACCCUUAUGCAACAUUAACCAGGUGCCAUGGAUUUGUUUUAUAUCAUUCUCGGUAUAGAUAUUAACAUUUAUUACUAUAUACCCAUUUUACAGAGAAGAAACAGAGGAAACUCAUUUUACAGACGCAGCAACGGAGCUGAAGUAGCAAGAAAAUGGCAGACCCUGGAUUCAAACCAAGGUCUUCUGAGUCCUUAUACAAAGCUUCCAUUUUUAGAAAUAAGAUGUUGAAGGCAAGUUUCCAACCAGUCCUGCUUUCCCUGUACACAGGAUAGUGACUGUAAAUGUCAUCGGGCUCCAUCCAUUUAUUGUGCUAUUGACUGGGUACCUGAAAAGACAACAGUAGAAUACAGUUGAGAAGCACUCUCAUGAUGAAAUGUAAUGAUCUAAUUUAUUCAUUUUGUAAAUGUGUAUUUAGUGUCUUUUUUUUGAUGUCAUAAGACAGAACACAGAUAUGGGGGUCAUCUAGAUCUGGAUAUAAAUCUCAGUCAGCCACUUAGUAUUUAACCUGAGGCUAUUAUUUAAUAUCUCUGUACUUUAUCUAUGAAAUGAGAAUAACAUCAAGCUCACACGGUUGUUGUAAGAAUUAGA
rnacentral:lncRNA from 1 species